ACCUACGGGGGGCAGCAGUAGGGAAUUUUCGGCAAUGGGGGGAACCCUGACCGAGCAACGCCACGUGAAGGAAGAAGGAAUUCGUUCUGUAAAAUUCUGUUAUAAAGGAAGAAAGGCGGAUGAAGGAAAUGACGUCCGAGUGACGGUACUUUAUGAGAAAGCCACGGCUAACUACGUGCCAGCAGCCGCGGUAAUACGUAGGUGGCAAGCGUUAUCCGGAAUUAUUGGGCGUAAAGAGGGAGCAGGCGGCUGCAGAGGUCUGUGGUGAAAGACUGUGGCUUAACUUAAGUAAGGCAU
rnacentral:rRNA from 1 species